UUCUAAACCCACAACACUAAUUGACAAUAAAUCCUGAAAGGGGGCGUGUUGUUAAAUUAUUUUUGGGUGGAGCUUACUUGGAAAGUCCUUGGAAAUACCGUCACUAUGUAAAAUUUGAUAUACGGGGUUUUAAUGGAGUUAGUGCAUUUUAAACAGGAUUAAUAAAAAAUAUAAGUUUCAUUCUUUACAUUUCAUGAUAAAGGUCUAGUCAAAUUAAGAUUAUAGGCGGCGCGUAUUCAGUAUUGUAAGUGAGGGUGACUGUGUGUUCCUUGCGGGUGACUUUGACACCCUACUGUUCGUAAACUUUUGUUUACUUUUAGGACUUAAGCUUGGUCUUUACAGAUCCGAUCUACCAUAUCUGAUCGGUGAGAAUCGUUCUUAAACAUUAGAAUUAAAGAAAAGCUUACGAACAGAGGGGUGUUAAAGUCACCCGCAUGGGACAGUCACUCAUACUUACGCUAGGUCAUAGCUUACCUCCCUCCAAAUGUAGUGUAAAAAUAAUUUUAAAAAAAUGAUGGAUAGUUAUUAUCCUUCAGUCUUGAAGCCAAGAUAUAUAUUUCAAGCUGUCACAAAAUUGCAAGAACAAGAUUUUUUAUUUUUGUGAAAUCUCUAAUAUUUUCACUGGAAAACAAACAAGCUUGUCCAUUUUUAAUUAAAUGGAUAGUAAAACUGUUUAGAGUUCCCGAACCCUCGAGAUCCUUGUAUAUGAGUUCUUCAUAUAUUUCCUGUAUUCUUCAAAUUCCUCAUGGGUUUUCUGGGUUUUGUAUAGAUUCUACGUAUACUUCAGCUUCGUACAAGUUCGUCGUUUUUCAUAUCGUUUUCUCCGCGUUUCCCAGGUUCCUUGAGUUCCUCAGGAUCUUUGAGUUCUUCAGAGCCCAGUCCAGUGAGUUCGCCCGAUUUCUUGUGGUUUCUUAAAAUUGCUCAUAGAUUUCUUAAGCUUUUCAUGACUUCCUCGAGUUCUCUAACAGCUAAGAUUUCUCUUUCAUUCCUCCAGUUUCGUAUGAGUUCAUCUGGUUAAUUUUUGGUUUCUUGGGAUUUUCGUGCUCCUCAUAAGGCUCAUCGUAUUCCCCAUAAAUUCGAAUUUCAAUUAGAAUUUUCGAAUUUCGCGUGAGUUCAUCAGAUUCUACGUCGAUUUCUCGUAUUACCCAUGAGUUUCUCAGAUUUUUUGAGUGUCCAAUAAGUCUCUGGGAUUCCUCAUGAUUUCUUGGGUUCACCAUGAGUUUCUUAAGUCUCACAUAUAUUGCUCAACCAGGGCGGGAAUUCUGUAGCAGUAUGACAAUGUCAUUAACAAUGACAAUGUAAAUUCGAGAUACUCAUACAUUUUUCAGGGAACUCAUAUUUUACUGGUAACUCGGAGAACCCAUGCAUUUUUCAGGGAACUUUCAGGGAACCCGGGAAACCCAUAUAGUUUUUCGGGGAACCCACGUAUUUUUUCAGGGAACUCGGGGAACUCAUAUGUUCUUUCAUGGAACUCACGAGGAAGUCAGGGAACCUAAAUCUUUUUCGAGGAACCGAGAACUCGAACCACUCUAAUUGCUUAUGUUAUGAAUAAGCCUUUGGGCUUUAAAGGCCUACAAAUGUCAAAAUACAGUACGACUCCAGUAGUGUUAAUGCGUUUGACUAAUAUUUCUAAACUAUUAGCCGUUCCAUUGCAGUUAAUAUUUCAUUUCGUUCAAGGAUUUCUCUGGUUCUUAACUUAGCAAAGUUAUUUAAAACAUUGAUAUUUACCUUCGAGUUUUACAAUUUUUUUCAAUGAUUGGGUUGACUAUGCUGGAGUCGUACCGUUAUUUGUAGUUUCUAAAAACUGAAAUAUUGAUAUGCUCUACAACAUGUGAAAGAUAUAUACUUCAAAGUUUUGUAGUCUUGAUCUUUGUCUCGGUUUCAAUACAAAAGGAAUAUAGUCAGGUAAAGCUGUCCCAAAAAUCACUAGAUGAUUUUUCACCUUGAUGUCUAGUUCAAAAUGAUUUUCAAUGGAUUAUUUUUGUGUGAAAAUAGCCAAUAUUAAUUAAAAUAGCUAUAUAAUAAUGUUUCAUAGAUUGAAAGAAAAAAAAACAAAUAUAUAAAUACAGAAAAGACAAAAAUCCAUUGAUGUGCAUAUUCAAAAUUUGUAUUUCAGAUAAUAAUUUGAUAAUACAAAGAGCCAAUCCAUUGAAAAAAAAAAUAAUGCAUAAUUUAUCAUAAAACAUAGAAGAGCCAUGCGAGAAAAAAACUCACAAAUAGAAUGUAAUGCAAAACAGGGAAAUUAUUUCUAAAUAAUCUCUACAGUUUGUUCAGUUUUCCUGAAGUAGAGAAACUUUAAGGUGAAAGCAUGAAAUAGUCGUUGAAUGUGAAACAAUACUCACUUGUAGACUUAAAAAAAAAUAAGAAACUGUGUAUUCUUGGUAAAAGAAUCGCAGAUGAAACCAUAAAUGUGUAUAAAAAGAAGGAGCAAGAGGAAGAAUGUUGAUACUUAUCUAUUGUUAAUGUUCAUGCUAAUUAACUGAUUUAGAACACUAGACAGAAUCAAAAAUCAAUAAAUUGGUUUUAGAACUGUA